rnacentral:rRNA from 1 species
ACAUCACGUUGAAACACCGGUUCUUGUACGAUCGUCGAAGUUAAGCAACAUCAAGUUUGGUCAGUACCUAGAUGGGUGACCGCUUGGGAAUACAAGGUGCUGUAA